rnacentral:rRNA from 1 species
CCUACGGGCGGCAGCAGUGGGGAAUAUUGGGCAAUGGGCGCAAGCCUGACCCAGCAACGCCGCGUGAAGGAAGAAGGCUUUCGGGUUGUAAACUUCUUUUCUGCGGGACGAAGAAAGUGACGGUACCUCAGGAAUAAGCCACGGCUAACUACGUGCCAGCAGCCGCGGUAAUACGUAGGUGGCAAGCGUUAGCCGGAUUUAUUGGGUGUAACGGGCGGGUAGGCGGGAAAGAAAGUCAGAUGUGAAAACUCAGGGCUCAACCCUGAGCCUGCAUUUGAAACUGUUUUUCUUGAGUGCUGGAGAGGCAAGCGGAAUUCCGUGUGUAGCGGUGAAAGGCGUAGAUAUACGGAGGAACACCAGUGGCGAAGGCGGAUUGCUGGACAGUAACUGACGCUGAGGCGCGAAAGCGUGGGGAGCAAACAGGAUUAGAUACCCCGGUAGUC